AGGCCCUGCUGACCCAUGAAGAACUGCCUGCCUAGAACUACGGCGCUCCUGCGAGGGGUACUUGGUGUGCCCUCUGCAAGGCGGUAAUGGCGGCAGGGUGCAUCAGUGGGCCCGGGGCCUCGUUUUGCAGAUGACAAGGAGAUGCACCGUAGUCUCUGGGUGACAUUCUGAAGGAGAGACAGGGAAGGAGGCUGUCUCUGGAUCACGGAUCAUAGCCUUGGAAAGAACUCUGGAAGACAUCUCCAACUUUCAGCUGAGUGGCAGAUUUGCAAUGCAGAAACCAACUCCAGUAUCCUAAAACAUCGCUCUUAAGCAUCUUCAGUGAAGAACUCAUCACCUCCUGUGGCAGCCUCUUCCAGUGCCAGUGCCGUGCCUGCAAGCAAGAACCGCAACAUUGCACAGCAGAGGAGGGGAGUGGGGCAGAACUGUUGCCACAUGCCAAUAUCUUAGAAUGGUGCAUUCUGCAGAAUGAAACCAGUGAAUAACCACAGACUUUAUGGGAAUUGUGAUAAAUCUGCUUGGAACCUGGAGGAAAGAAAAAAAAAUCCCCUCAAGAGCAAAUGCCUUGACACAGAGUCUGCUGAGAAGUUCUUGAACCAAAGUCCAUUUCUGCGGUAUGAGCAGUGCCUUUUGCUUCAAUGGAGCCAAUUUACUCAAGACGGACAGAUGACACAGAGCAGAAAGCUUACGAUGCCAGCAAGUUAUUUGUCACUGAAACUCGCAAUUACUGAAACUACCAAACACAAUGUUACUGUAGCAUUGUACUGGCACUGCUAGCAACUUCGCCAGCAGAAAGGUAGUGUUGCAGUGUGCUAAUUUUUGUCAGCUGUGAGAUCAGUGACACCUACUUCUGCCUGAGGUAUUUUAGGUUAAUAACUUAGCACCUACUGUCUUUUGAGAAAUUCCAGUGCUACAUGCUACGAAAGGCCAAAAAAGAGACUAUAAAAUGCAUCUCUCUCUCCUGCUUUAAUAACUUACAUGUUCUGUAAGGCUGACACCAUAAAAACUGUGUGAUGGCAGCAAACUAGUACAAAAGCUGUCUGGAACUCAGCUCUGUUCUCACACUGCUGAUAUGACGAACUGCCUUGUAAUUCAAUGAGAUGCUAACUUAUGGCAGUCAGCAAAGGAACGCCAAGAUUAUAUUAACAAAUUUGGAUCAUAUCUUCAGCGGCUACAAAGGGAUUUCGUUCCACCUAAUUCCUUCAGAUGCAAAGACACAUCAGCGUUAGACAGGCAAAACUAUUUCCAAUGUCUGUGCGGAGAGCACACACCCUCCUUUGGUGACUGCUGACACACUCCGUUCUCCACCUGGCCCUACGAACUGGAUGGCCAUCUGGGCUUCCGUCUUGCCUGCUGCCAUGGAUAAAAUCUAAUACCCUCUGAAGAGAUUAUGCACAGUGCAGCGAGUGCUUUUGACAUCCUUGCGACAGAAGCACGGCGUGCAGCCGCCCCGACUUGUUGACCCCGACAGUUUAUAGGGGAUGUAAUAGGGAAGUCAUUAUGUGGCAUAUCUCUACUUUCCCCUGUAAUUCACACUGCAAUACCGGGAUAAUGUAAAGAACUGCCCCGAAGCUACUUUGCUCAACAAUGACAUUCUGUUCUUCAGUCAUCAGCUCUGGAGGAUAAACUGGCCAAUUUGGCAGCAUGAGAGUGCAGUUGCUAUUUUUAAUAUCUAUGCAAAUCAGAAGGAGCAACCACCAGAAGAAGGCUGUACUAUUUCUCUGUCAUAUGUAUUGGGCGAAGGGAGUCCUGAUACUGCA